rnacentral:rRNA from 1 species
UACGUAGGGGGCAAGCGUUAUCCGGAUUUACUGGGUGUAAAGGGAGUGUAGGCGGCGAUGCAAGUCAGAUGUGAAAGCCCGGGGCUUAACCCCGGGACUGCAUUUGAAACUGCAUUGCUAGAGUAUCGGAGAGGUAAGCGGAAUUCCUAGUGUAGCGGUGAAAUGCAUAGAUAUUAGGAAGAACACCGGUGGCGAAGGCGGCUUACUGGACGAUAACUGACGCUGAGGCUCGAAAGCGUGGGGAGCAAAC